rnacentral:misc_RNA from 1 species
GAUGAAGAACGUAGCGAAAUGCGAUAAGUAAUGUGAAUUGCAGAAUUCAGUGAAUCAUCGAAUCUUUGAACGCACAUUGCGCCCGCCAGUAUUCUGGCGGGCAUGCCUGUUCGAGCGUCAUUUCAACCCUCAAGCCCCCGGGCUUGGUGUUGGGGAUCGGCGUGCCCUCGCGGCGCGCCGUCCCCUAAAUCUAGUGGCGGUCUCGCUGUAGCUUCCUCUGCGUAGUAGCAACACUCGCACUGGAUCGCAGCGCGGCCACGCCGUUAAACCCCCCACUUCUGAAAGUUUGACCUCAGAUCAGGUAGGAAUACCCGCUGAACUUAAGCAUAUCAAUAAGCGGAGGA